rnacentral:rRNA from 1 species
UGGGGAUAUUGCACAAUGGGGGAAACCCUGAUGCAGCGACGCCGCGUGAGGGAAGAAGGUUUUCGGAUUGUAAACCUCUGUCUUCAGUGACGAAAAUGACGGUAACUGAGGAGGAAGCCACGGCUAACUACGUGCCAGCAGCCGCGGUAAUACGUAGGUGGCAAGCGUUGUCCGGAAUUACUGGGUGUAAAGGGAGCGUAGGCGGGAAGACAAGUUGAAUGUGAAAUGCAGAGGCUCAACCUCUGAACUGCGUUCAAAACUGCCAUUCUUGAGUGAAGUAGAGGUAAGCGGAAUUCCUAGUG